CCAGACUCCUACGGGAGGCAGCAGUGAGGAAUAUUGGUCAAUGGCCGGAAGGCUGAACCAGCCAUGCCGCGUGAAGGUCAGUGCCCUAUGGGCGUUAAACUUCUUUUGUGCGGGAGCAAUAAUGGUCACGUGUGGCCAGACGAGAGUACCGUACGAAUAAGCAUCGGCUAACUCCGUGCCAGCAGCCGCGGUAAUACGUAGGGGGCAAGCGUUAUCCGGAUUUACUGGGUGUAAAGGGGGCGCAGACGGCGAUGCAAGCCAGGAGUGAAAGCCCGGGGCCCAACCCCGGGACUGCUCUUGGAACUGCGUGGCUAGAGUGCAGGAGGGGCAGGCGGAAUUCCUGGUGUAGCGGUGAAAUGCGUAGAUAUCAGGAGGAACACCGGUGGCGAAGGCGGCCUGCUGGACUGCAACUGACGUUGAGGCCCGAAAGCGUGGGGAGCAAACAGGAUUAGAUACCCGAGUAC
rnacentral:rRNA from 1 species